AAAAAAGACACAACUGCCAUACCCAUUUAAUACAUUAGUAUAAAUAGAAACUGAUUGUAAAAACAAAAACAUAUUGAAAUAUCUGCCGCUGAAAAUUUUGGGAUUCCCCGCUUAUCUGGUAAAUGUUGUAAAUUAAUAACUCAAUUGACACUCCCUUGUCUCGCAUCUCUUCGAAAAAAAUCAGACCACCGUUAGAUACCUGCAAUUUCACAUGGGACUGGUUUAUGCGCAUUUAAU
rnacentral:lncRNA from 1 species